rnacentral:rRNA from 1 species
UACGUAGGGUGCAAGCGUUGUCCGGAAUUACUGGGCGUAAAGGGCGCGUAGGCGGCCGAUCAAGUCAGAUGUGAAAGUCCUGGGCUUAACCUGGGGACUGCAUUUGAUACUGAUUGGCUUGAAUGCAGGAGAGGAUAGCGGAAUUCCCAGUGUAGAGGUGAAAUUCGUAGAUAUUGGGAAGAACACCGGUGGCGAAGGCGGCUAUCUGGACUGUGAUUGACGCUGAGGCGCGAAAGCCAGGGGAGCAAACGGG